rnacentral:rRNA from 1 species
UACGGGGGGGGCAAGCGUUGUUCGGAAUUACUGGGCGUAAAGGCUCGUAGGCGGCCAACUAAGUCAGACAUGAAAUCCCUCGGCUUAACCGGGGAACUGCGUCUGAUACUGGAUGGCUUGAGUUCGGGAGAGGGAUGUGGAAUUCCAGGUGUAGCGGUGAAAUGCGUAGAUAUCUGGAGGAACACCGGUGGCGAAGGCGGCAUCCUGGACCGACACUGACGCUCAUGCACGAAAGCGUGG